rnacentral:rRNA from 1 species
AUUGAACGCUGGCGGCAGGCCUAACACAUGCAAGUCGAACGGUAACAGGAAGAAGCUUGCUUCUUUGCUGACGAGUGGCGGACGGGUGAGUAAUGUCUGGGAAACUGCCUGAUGGAGGGGGAUAACUACUGGAAACGGUAGCUAAUACCGCAUAACGUCGCAAGACCAAAGAGGGGGACCUUCGGGCCUCUUGCCAUCGGAUGUGCCCAGAUGGGAUUAGCUAGUAGGUGGGGUAACGGCUCACCUAGGCGACGAUCCCUAGCUGGUCUGAGAGGAUGACCAGCCACACUGGAACUGAGACACGGUCCAGACUCCUACGGGAGGCAGCAGUGGGGAAUAGUGCACAAUGGGCGCAAGCCUGAUGCAGCCAUGCCGCGUGUAUGAAGAAGGCCUUCGGGUUGUAAAGUACUUUCAGCGGGGAGGAAGGGAGUAAAGUUAAUACCGUUGCUCAUUGACGUUACCCGCAGAAGAAGCACCGGCUAACUCCGUG